rnacentral:rRNA from 1 species
AACGAACGCUGGCGGCAUGCCUAACACAUGCAAGUCGAACGAGACCUUCGGGUCUAGUGGCGCACGGGUGCGUAACGCGUGGGAACCUGCCCUUAGGUUCGGAAUAACUCCCCGAAAGGGGUGCUAAUACCGGAUAAUGUCUUCGGACCAAAGAUUUAUCGUCUUUGGAUGGGCCCGCGUUGGAUUAGCUAGUUGGUAGGGUAAAAGCCUACCAAGGCGACGAUCCAUAGCUGGUCUGAGAGGAUGAUCAGCCACACUGGGACUGAGACACGGCCCAGACUCCUACGGGAAGCAGCAGUGGGGAAUAUUGGACAAUGGGCGAAAGCCUGAUCCAGCAAUGCCGCGUGAGUGAUGAAGGCCUUAGGGUUGUAAAGCUCUUUUACCCGGGAUGAUAAUGACAGUACCGGGAGAAUAAGCUCCGGCUAACUCCGUG